AAUUUUGGACACUGGGGGGAACCCUGAUCCAGCCAUCCCGCGUGUGCGAUGAAGGCCUNCGGGUUNUNAAGCACUUUUGGCAGGGNCGAAAAGGCUCUGGUUAAUACCCGGAGCUGCUGACGGUACCUGCAGAAUAAUCACCGGCUAACCACGUUCCAGCAGCCGAGGUAAUACGUAGGGUGCAAGCGUUAAUCGGAAUUUCUGGGCGUAAGGCGUGCGCAGGCGGUUUGGCAAGAAGGAUGUGAAAUCCCAGGGAUUAAGCUUGGAACUGCAUUCUUAACUGCCAGGCUAGAGUAUGUCAGAGGGGGGUAGAAUUCCGCGUGUAGCAGUGAAAUGCGUAGAGAUGCGGAGGAAUACCGAUGGCGAAGGCAGCCCCCUGGGAUAAUACUGACGCUCAUGCACGAAAGCGUGGGGAGCAAAC
rnacentral:rRNA from 1 species